rnacentral:rRNA from 1 species
GAUGAACGCUAGCGGCAGGCUUAACACAUGCAAGUCGAGGGGCAGCGUGGAGUAGCAAUACUCUGACGGCGACCGGCGAAAGGGUGAGUAACGCGUGAGCAACAUGCCCGUCACAGGGGGAUAGUCAUUGGAAACGAUGUGUAAUACCCCGUAACACAGGAGGCCGCAUGACCUUCUGUUGAAAGAUUUAUCGGUGACGGAUUGGCUCGCGUGCCAUUAGCUAGUUGGCGGGGUAACGGCCCACCAAGGCGACGAUGGCUAGGGGUUCUGAGAGGAAGGUCCCCCACAUUGGAACUGAGACACGGUCCAGACUCCUACGGGAGGCAGCAGUGAGGAAUAUUGGACAAUGGCCGAGAGGCUGAUCCAGCCAUGCCGCGUGCGGGAGGACGGGCCCUAUGGGUUGUAAACCGCUUUUUUGUGGGAGCAAUAAGAGCCACGUGUGGCUGCAUGAGAGUACCAUGAGAAUAAGCAUCGGCUAACUCCGUGCCAGCAGCCGCGGUAAUACGGAGGAUGCAAGCGUUAUCCGGAUUUACUGGGCGUAAAGUAUCCGUAGCCUGAUAUGUAAGUCUGUUUUCAAAUCCCACGACUCAAUCGUGGAAAGGGAAUGGAUACUGCAUAUCUAGAAGUUAUUGGGGGUUAGUGGAAUUUCCGGUGGAGCGGUGAAAUGCGUUGAUAUCGGAAAGAACGCCGAAAGCGAAAGCAGCUAACUAUGAUUAACUUGACGGUGAGGGAUGAAAGUUUGGGUAGCAAACGGGC